rnacentral:lncRNA from 1 species
GUUUUUUCCCCCAAUACCUUAAAACGAAACAAAAACCACAGAAACCAUUUUAAAAUCUCAGGUGUACACGCCACGGAAAAAGCACAGGAAAAAAAAUCAUCACCUUGAUUGAGGAGAAUCUCUUAGACCUCCCGGCUGACGGCAGAAGUUUCUCAUAGCAGGUUAAUGAGCACGGUGCUUUCGAAAAGGCAUUCGAGGGAAGGACACGACUUUUGCGUUCGGGGAAACCACACGGUAGUUUAUUCCGAGCCAGACAGGAGUGACCUAGGCCCGGGAACGCAGAUUCCAGUUGCCUUGAAGUGUACUGAAGAAAUCCAAGUUGGACACAGAGAACGAAGGUCGUCGUCCUCCGUGCACGUACCAGGGGUGCUGGGCUGAACACAGGUUAGGUCAAAUGGGAAAAUGGACUGCGUUCUCAGGGAGGUUGGUCAGGCUCUAGUUCU